GAUGAACGCUGGCGGCGCGCCUAACACAUGCAAGUCGAACGAAGCUUGACGGAUGAUUUCUUCGGAAUGAAACCAGAUAUGACUUAGUGGCGGACGGGUGAGUAACUCGUGAGCAACCUGCCUUUCAGAGGGGGAUAACGGCUGGAAACGGUCGCUAAUACCGCAUGAUGUGUUCGGUGGGCAUCAUCUGAACAUCAAAGAUUUAUCGCUGAAAGAUGGGCUCGCGUCUGAUUAGAUAGUUGGUGGGGUAACGGCCUACCAAGCCUACGAUCAGUAGCCGGACUGAGAGGUUGAACGGCCACAUUGGGACUGAGAUACGGCCCAGACUCCUACGGGAGGCAGCAGUGGGGAAUAUUGCACAAUGGGGGAAACCCUGAUGCAGCAACGCCGCGUGAAGGAUGACGGUUUUCGGAUUGUAAACUUCUUUUCUUAGAGGCGAAGACAGUGACGGUAGCUAAGGAAUAAGCAUCGGCUAACUACGUG
rnacentral:rRNA from 1 species